AGGCCUAACACAUGCAAGUCGAGCGGAUGAGGGGUGCUUGCACCCCGAUUCAGCGGCGGACGGGUGAGUAAUGCCUAGGAAUCUGCCCGAUAGUGGGGGACAACGUUUCGAAAGGAACGCUAAUACCGCAUACGUCCUACGGGAGAAAGUGGGGGCUCUUCGGACCUCACGCUAUCGGAUGAGCCUAGGUCGGAUUAGCUAGUUGGUGGGGUAAAGGCCCACCAAGGCGACGAUCCGUAACUGGUCUGAGAGGACGAUCAGUCACACUGGAACUGAGACACGGUCCAGACUCCUACGGGAGGCAGCAGUGGGGAAUAUUGGACAAUGGGCGAAAGCCUGAUCCAGCCAUGCCGCGUGUGUGAAGAAGGUCUUCGGAUUGUAAAGCACUUUAAGUCGGGAGGAAGGGCUGUAGGUUAAUACCCUGCGGUUUUGACGUUACCGACAGAAUAAGCACCGGCUAACUUCGUGCCAGCAGCCGCGGUAAUACGAAGGGUGCAAGCGUUAAUCGGAAUUACUGGGCGUAAAGCGCGCGUAGGUGGUUUGGUAAGUUGGAUGUGAAAGCCCCGGGCUCAACCUGGGAACUGCAUCCAAAACUGCCUGACUAGAGUACGGUAGAGGGUGGUGGAAUUUCCUGUGUAGCGGUGAAAUGCGUAGAUAUAGGAAGGAACACCAGUGGCGAAGGCGACCACCUGGACUGAUACUGACACUGAGGUGCGAAAGCGUGGGGAGCAAACAGGAUUAGAUACCCUGGUAGUCCACGCCGUAAACGAUGUCGACUAGCCGUUGGGCUCCUUGAGAGCUUAGUGGCGCAGCUAACGCAUUAAGUCGACCGCCUGGGGAGUACGGCCGCAAGGUUAAAACUCAAAGGAAUUGACGG
rnacentral:rRNA from 1 species